AUUGCUUUUCGUGCCGUUUCCACAGCGAUAAAUACUUUUUGUAUUCGUGUUUAAUAAUACUCCCUUCGAUUUGAAAUUCUCCAUUUGUAAUGUUUCAUGUUCAUCAGACGGGUCGACCCCGUGCCGACCUCACCUUGACUCCACUGUUACCUCAGGUUAAAAUUAAAAAUGGAUUCAUUGGCGCUGCCCAUGUGAUCAGACGGGAGCUACUGAAGCAGUUAUGGACCAGAGGAAUCCUUGAGGACACUGCAAGCCCCACAAACGUUCGUACACAUUUGGAUGAAGCAUACUCCCUGAUAAAUGUGAUUCCCGGCAGGUUUAACACAUUUGGCAGGAAUGGCUGAGAAUUUCCCAUCAGAGAGCCAAAGGCGGAAGAUGAACCACCAAAAGAUAAUGUGGAGGCUGCGUAACAUGCGGCAGCACUUAACACAGAAUCAACUGAAUCAUGCACAACCACCGCAAAACCCAUUCCAGCGAGUGGUGAGCGAAGUCUGUCCUGAGCCUCACUCUCCGAGUCUGCUACACAUGAGCCUCCAGAACCAGGAUGGCGAGCGCUCAGCCGAUGGAGACCUGGGAAUAAAGCAGCAGCAAGAAGGAUCGGUGGCGUGUAACAGACGAAUGCAAACUACAUCGAACGAUGCACCUGCUGCUCGGCUCUCUCAUUCAUACACCACCCACACCCAUGGCUCAACAGAGCCGGCACAUCUCGGAGAGGGGACAACUCCACCAAGAACCAACCCACGAGAACAGGAAUCUCCGAAUAUACCAGACACACCGUGGGACUCCAACUUGGGGGAACUCUCAUUCACUUUGCAGAGAAAGCUGAAUUCACAGGUGCAGCUUUUCUCUCAAGCCAUUCAGCAAACCAUUACCGAGCACCAGGUGGCUGUGCAUCAGCUGUUUGAGCCUGAUGUCCCUGUUCCUGGGCAUAUCGACUUACAGGCACAGACCAUCACAGAUGGAAGCUUGAAGACCAACAGCUCAGAUGUUACAAGUACAAAUUAUUCAACAAUGUGCCGUUUUGUGUGGGCAUAGGGACGAAGACAGAUUGAUGGAUGAAUUUUGCAGACAAGCAAUGGUGAUGGUUGUGAAGGCAAGCAAUUCUUUACUGAUUGCUAAUUUCACCUUGGAGUGACGAUACGCUUCAUUAACAAAACAAAAAAAAAUUAAAAAAAGUUAUGUUUUAUAAAUAAACACGAUCCUAUUAAUUUCCAAUUAGUCACUGGCUUUAACACCAAUACAAAUUUUUAUUUAGGACCCUAAUCAUCAAAAAAGGUACACAUGUCAAACAAACAGUUUCAAAUGGAGCACCUCACCACCAUUAGAGCUUUUACAUUGCAUCAGAUGUGGCAAUAAAUGUGAAUUUUUGCUCCCAGCUUGACGACAGAAAACAC
rnacentral:lncRNA from 1 species